rnacentral:rRNA from 1 species
GUUUUACCUUGACGAAUUGUAGUUUAAAGAAGUGUUUUCUGUUGGUGUUUUGGUAAAAGUUCUUUGGAAUAGGACAUCAUAGAGGGUGAGAAUCCCGUAUUUGACCAUUACUUCCAGCGUUGUGAUACACUUUCAAAGAGUCGGAUUGUUUGGGAAUGCAGUCCAAAAUGGGUGGUAAAUUUCAUCUAAAGCUAAAUAUUGGCGAGAGACCGAUAGCGAACAAGUACCGUGAGGGAAAGACGAAAAGAACUUUGAAAAGAGAGUUAAACAGUACGUGAAAUUGUCAAAAGGGAAGCGUUUGACACCAGUGUUGUUUUCUCGAAAAUCAAUUAAAAAGUGUUGGAUUUUGUAUUGUUAAGACCUUAUCAGCUUACUGUACUCUUUUCCUGCUCUUUUU